rnacentral:rRNA from 1 species
UACGUAGGGUGCGAGCGUUGUCCGGAAUUACUGGGCGUAAAGAGCUCGUAGGUGGUUUGUCGCGUUGUCCGUGAAAACUCACAACUCAAUUGUGGGCGUGCGGGCGAUACGGGCAGACUGGAGUACUGCAGGGGAGACUGGAAUUCCUGGUGUAGCGGUGGAAUGCGCAGAUAUCAGGAGGAACACCGGUGGCGAAGGCGGCAUCCUGGACCGACAUUGACGCUGAUGAGCGAAAGCUAGGGGAGCAAACGGG